rnacentral:rRNA from 1 species
AUUGAACGCUGGCGGCAUGCCUUACACAUGCAAGUCGAACGGUAACAGGGAGCUUGCUCCGCUGACGAGUGGCGAACGGGUGAGUAAAGUAUCGGAACGUACCUUUCAGUGGGGGAUAAUGUAGCGAAAGUUACGCUAAUACCGCAUAUUCUGUGAGCAGGAAAGCAGGGGAUCGCAAGACCUUGCGCUGAUUGAGCGGCCGAUAUCAGAUUAGCUAGUUGGUGAGGUAAAGGCUCACCAAGGCGACGAUCUGUAGCGGGUCUGAGAGGAUGAUCCGCCACACUGGAACUGAGACACGGUCCAGACUCCUACGGGAGGCAGCAGUGGGGAAUUUUGGACAAUGGGGGCAACCCUGAUCCAGCCAUGCCGCGUGAGUGAAGAAGGCCUUCGGGUUGUAAAGCUCUUUCGGCCGGGAAGAAAUCGCAUGGGUUAAUACCCUGUGCGGAUGACGGUACCGGCAUAAGAAGCACCGGCUAACUACGUG